rnacentral:rRNA from 1 species
CCCUUAGAUGUUCUGGGCCGCACGCGCGCUACACUGACGAAUGCAACGAGCUUAUAACCUUGGCCGAAAGGUCUGGGUAAUCUCCAAAUUUCGUCGUGAUGGGGAUAGAUUAUUGCAAUUAUUAAUCUUCAACGAGGAAUUCCUAGUAAGCGCAAGUCAUCAGCUUGCGUUGAUUACGUCCCUGCCCUUUGUACACACCGCCCGUCGCUCCUACCGAUUGAAUGGUCCGGUGAAGCGUUCGGACCGUGGCCUUUGGACGGUUCGCCGUCUGUUGGCUGCGGGAAGUUCGUUAAACCUUAUCAUUUAGAGGAAGGAGAANUCGUAACA